GACGAACGCUGGCGGCGUGCCUAAUACAUGCAAGUAGAACGCUGAAGGAGGAGCUUGCUCUUCUGGAUGAGUUGCGAACGGGUGAGUAACGCGUAGGUAACCUGCCUGGUAGCGGGGGAUAACUAUUGGAAACGAUAGCUAAUACCGCAUAACAGUAGAUGUUGCAUGACAUUUGCUUAAAAGGUGCAAUUGCCUCACUACCAGAUGGACCUGCGUUGUAUUAGCUAGUUGGUGGGGUAACGGCUCACCAAGGCGACGAUACAUAGCCGACCUGAGAGGGUGAUCGGCCACACUGGGACUGAGACACGGCCCAGACUCCUACUGGCGGCAGCAGUAGGGAAUCUGCGGCAAUGGACGGAAGUCUGACCGAGCAACGCCGCGUGAGUGAAGAAGGUUUUCGGAUCGUAAAGCUCUGUUGUAAGAGAAGAACGAGUGUGAGAGUGGAAAGUUCACACUGUGACGGUAUCUUACCAGAAAGGGACGGCUAACUACGUG
rnacentral:rRNA from 1 species